CUUUUCACUUUUUUUAAAGUUUCAGAACAAAGCACAACGAGGAGGUGACUGCAACAGUGGUGCAAGCAGUGAAGGACGUGGAACCAAAUUGGAGUUACCAUCAAGUUCGAAGAGCCUGUAAUCGAGCUUUUGAAAAUAUCAAGUCCAGAGAGAGAUGGAAGGAAAGACGACGUCAAGAGGAGGAAACUCCUAACUAGUAGGCGUGAUCGGCUCUUCAGAAAGCGGGUGAAAAUUGCAGAGAAGAUUCUAAACCAAGAGGACCUGUUGUACAUUCAGGGCUCUAACUCAAAUUUUGUGAGUGAUGAGGAAAGUGACGAGGAAAAAACUGUAUUUAAUUUUUCCUCACCAAAGUGGCGCUCCACAAGGCUAACCAGACUGAUGGCACAUUGCCAAAAAGCGUUGGACGAAAACAGAAAAAGGGUAUAGAGCCAAGGUCA